rnacentral:tRNA from 1 species
GUUCUCUUAGUAUAGAGGUAUAUUUAUUUUCCAAAUAAAAGGUAAAGAAAUUUUAGAGGAUA